rnacentral:sRNA from 1 species
UCAAUAAUAUUAGUUGUACCUUCUUGGGA